GCGGGUGUAGCUCAGUUGGUAGAGCGUCAGCUUCCCAAGCUGAGGGUCGCGGGUUCGAAUCCCGUCGCCCGCU
rnacentral:tRNA from 1 species